rnacentral:rRNA from 1 species
UAGGGAAUCUUCGGCAAUGGACGAAAGUCUGACCGAGCAACGCCGCGUGAGUGAAGAAGGUUUUCGGAUCGUAAAACUCUGUUGUUAGAGAAGAACAAGGACGUUAGUAACUGAACGUCCCCUGACGGUAUCUAACCAGAAAGCCACGCCUAACUACGUGCCAGCAGCCGCGGUAAUACGUAGGUGGCAAGCGUUGUCCGGAUUUAUUGGGCGUAAAGCGAGCGCAGGCGGUUUCUUAAGUCUGAUGUGAAAGCCCCCGGCUCAACCGGGGAGGGUCAUUGGAAACUGGGAGACUUGAGUGCAGAAGAGGAGAGUGGAAUUCCAUGUGUAGCGGUGAAAUGCGUAGAUAUAUGGAGGAACACCAGUGGCGAAGGCGGCUCUCUGGUCUGUAACUGACGCUGAGGCUCGAAAGCGUGGGGAACAAACAGG